GACGAACGCUGGCGGCGUGCUUAACACAUGCAAGUCGAACGGAAAGGCCCUGCUUUUGUGGGGUGCUCGAGUGGCGAACGGGUGAGUAACACGUGAGUAACCUGCCCUUGACUUUGGGAUAACUUCAGGAAACUGGGGCUAAUACCGGAUAGGAGCUCCUGCUGCAUGGUGGGGGUUGGAAAGUUUCGGCGGAUGGGGAUGGACUCGCGGCUUAUCAGCUUGUUGGUGGGGUAGUGGCUUACCAAGGCUUCGACGGGUAGCCGGCCUGAGAGGGUGACCGGCCACAUUGGGACUGAGAUACGGCCCAGACUACUACGGGAGGCAGCAGUGGGGAAUAUUGCACAAUGGGCGGAAGCCGGAUGCAGCAACGCCGCGUGCGGGAUGACGGCCUUCGGGUUGUAAACCGCUUUCGCCUGUGACGAAGCGUGAGUGACGGUAAUGGGUAAAGAAGCACCGGCUAACUACGUG
rnacentral:rRNA from 1 species